AAAAGUUUGUUCAUGAGCUGUCAUGCUCGCUGGGCGAGCAGAAUGGGUCGCCUAGCGAGUCCCAAGAAAAGCCACCAGAAUCACCUACGCUCAGAGGAAUUUCUUGAACUGUCAUGCUCGCUAGGCGAAGCCCACGUGUUUAAAAAUAAAUAAAAAAUAAAAAAACGAAAAUAAAUAAAUAAAUAAAAUAUAACUGAAUUUUUUUGGACUUGGGCCUCUCUCAUUUGAGCCCACAGGUCCAUAAAAACCAGGUUAUAAAUUCAGAGUUUCAGUGAAACAAAAGGCAAUUCUAUUCC
rnacentral:lncRNA from 1 species